rnacentral:tRNA from 1 species
GCGCCCUUAACUCAAUUGGAUAGAGUAGCAGCCUUCUAAGCUGCAGGUAACAGGUUCAAAUCCUGUAGGGCGCG